GAUGAAGAACGCAGCGAAAUGCGAUAAGUAAUGUGAAUUGCAGAAUUCAGUGAAUCAUCGAAUCUUUGAACACACAUUGCGCCCGCUAGUAUUCUGGCGGGCAUGCCUGUCCGAGCGUCAUUUCAACCCUCAAGCCCCUCCGGGGGCCUGGCGUUGGGGAUCGGCCCCGCUCCGGCGGCCGGCCCCGAAAUGUAGUGGCGGUCUCGCCGCUGCCUCCUCUGCGUAGUAGAAACACCUCGCAUUGGGACGCGGCGGGCCCACGCCGUUAACCAGAUGAAUUUUUUCAAGGUUGACCUCGGAUCAGGUAGGAAUACCCGCUGAACUUAAGCAUAUCAAUAAGCGGAGGA
rnacentral:misc_RNA from 1 species